GACGAACGCUGGCGGCGUGCUUAACACAUGCAAGUCGAACGGAAAGGCCCUGCUUGCAGGGUACUCGAGUGGCGAACGGGUGAGUAACACGUGGGUGAUCUGCCCUGCACUUCGGGAUAAGCCUGGGAAACUGGGUCUAAUACCGGCUAGGAGCCAUUUUUAGUGUGAUGGUUGGAAAGUUUUUUCGGUGUAGGAUGAGCUCGCGGCCUAUCAGCUUGUUGGUGGGGUAAUGGCCUACCAAGGCGGCGACGGGUAGCCGGCCUGGGAGGGUGGACGGCCACAUUGGGACUGAGAGACGGCCCAGACGCCUACGGGAGGCAGCAGUGGGGAAUAUUGCACAAGGGGCGCAAGCCUGAUGCAGCGACGCCGCGUGGGGGAUGACGGCCUUCGGGUUGUAAACUCCUUUCGCUAGGGACGAAGCUUUUUGUGACGGUACCUAGAUAAGAAGCACCGGCUAACUACGUG
rnacentral:rRNA from 1 species